rnacentral:rRNA from 1 species
UGGGGAAUAUUGCACAAUGGGCGCAAGCCUGAUGCAGCCAUGCCGCGUGUAUGAAGAAGGCCUUCGGGUUGUAAAGUACUUUCAGCGGGGAGGAAGGUGUUGUGGUUAAUAACCGCAGCAAUUGACGUUACCCGCAGAAGAAGCACCGGCUAACUCCGUGCCAGCAGCCGCGGUAAUACGGAGGGUGCAAGCGUUAAUCGGAAUUACUGGGCGUAAAGCGCACGCAGGCGGUCUGUCAAGUCGGAUGUGAAAUCCCCGGGCUCAACCUGGGAACUGCAUUCGAAACUGGCAGGCUAGAGUCUUGUAGAGGGGGGUAGAAUUCCAGGUGUAGCGGUGAAAUGCGUAGAGAUCUGGAGGAAUACCGGUGGCGAAGGCGGCCCCCUGGACAAAGACUGACGCUCAGGUGCGAAGGCGUGGGGAGCAAACA